rnacentral:lncRNA from 1 species
UGUCAGGCUGCAGUGAGCAGCUCUCCUCCUCCACGCGCCCCCUGCCAUGUCACCCAGCCUUGGAGCGAGCCAACUUUGGGCUGAAACCACUACAUACCCAUGACAAAAGAUCCUUGUGAUGAUUGCGUCCAACCCCCUCAUUUUACAGAUUGGGAACCUGAGGCUCAAAGAGGAAAAGCAAUGAGGGUAGAUAAAGCCCUUCGAUGACUACCUGGGGAACAGACCAGAUGAGGCAUCAUCCCAGGCCAGCGGCGCUCACAGAGGAAACACCUUCGUGCUCAGGGACAGAUUUACUAGGAACAUCUGGAGACACCAGCAAGCUGGUCACCAUUCCAGAUGCCAACACUGAGGGCCAGGGACAGGAUGUGACCAGCUCUAUGGCACCAACCAGUUUGCAGCUCAGGUGCCCACUGGGACAACAGAGUUCUGCCCCUCUGUGGGUGUGACUCAGAGCAUAGCGAGCACAUGACUGUCUCUUCUAGGGAAGAUCUGUCACUCGGUGGCCAUAUGCCCCUUCUACGUCAGAGUGUCCCCAACACAG